rnacentral:rRNA from 1 species
AGCGAACGCUGGCGGCAGGCCUAACACAUGCAAGUCGAACGAACCCUUCGGGGUUAGUGGCGGACGGGUGAGUAACACGUGGGAACGUGCCUUUAGGUUCGGAAUAACUCAGGGAAACUUGUGCUAAUACCGAACGUGCCCUUCGGGGGAAAGAUUUAUCGCCUGUAGAGCGGCCCGCGUCUGAUUAGCUAGUUGGUGAGGUAAUGGCUCACCAAGGCUACGAUCAGUAGCUGGUCUGAGAGGAUGACCAGCCACAUUGGGACUGAGACACGGCCCAAACUCCUACGGGAGGCAGCAGUGGGGAAUCUUGCGCAAUGGGCGAAAGCCUGACGCAGCCAUGCCGCGUGGAUGAUGAAGGUCUUAGGAUUGUAAAAUCCUUUCACCGGUGAAGAUAAUGACUGUAGCCGGAGAAGAAGCCCCGGCUAACUUCGUGCCAGCAGCCGCGGUAAAAC